rnacentral:rRNA from 1 species
AACGAACGCUGGCGGCAGGCUUAACACAUGCAAGUCGAACGCAUCCUUCGGGGUGAGUGGCAGACGGGUGAGUAACGCGUGGGAACGUGCCCUUCAGUUCGGGAUAACCCAGGGAAACUUGGGCUAAUACCGGAUACGUGCGAGAGCAGAAAGAUUUAUCGCUGAAGGAUCGGCCCGCGUCUGAUUAGCUAGUUGGUGGGGUAAUGGCCCACCAAGGCGACGAUCAGUAGCUGGUCUGAGAGGAUGAUCAGCCACAUUGGGACUGAGGCACGGCCCAAACUCCUACGGGAGGCAGCAGUGGGGAGUAUCGGACAAUGGGCGCAAGCCUGAUCCAGCCAUGCCGCGUGAGUGAUGAAGGCCUUAGGGUUGUAAAGCUCUUUCGUCCGGGACGAUAAUGACGGUACCGGAAGAAGAAGCCCCGGCUAACUUCGUGCCAGCCGCCGCCGUAAAAC